UGGGAAUUUUGGACAAUGGGCGAAAGCCUGAUCCAGCAAUGCCGCGUGUGUGAAGAAGGCCUUCGGGUUGUAAAGCACUUUUGUCCGGAAAGAAAUCCUUGGCUCUAAUACAGUCGGGGGAUGACGGUACCGGAAGAAUAAGCACCGGCUAACUACGUGCCAGCAGCCGCGGUAAUACGUAGGGUGCAAGCGUUAAUCGGAAUUACUGGGCGUAAGCGUGCGCAGGCGGUUUGCUAAGACCGAUGUGAAAUCCCCGGGCUCAACCUGGGAACUGCAUUGGUGACUGGCAGGCUAGAGUAUGGCAGAGGGGGGUAGAAUUCCACGUGUAGCAGUGAAAUGCGUAGAGAUGUGGAGGAAUACCGAUGGCGAAGGCAGCCCCCUGGGCCAAUACUGACGCUCAUGCACGAAAGCGUGGGGAGCAAACAGGAUUAGAUACCCUGGUAGUCCACGCCCUAAACGAUGUCAACUAGUUGUUGGGAUUCAUUUCUUAGUAACGUAGCUAACGCGUGAAGUUGACCGCCUGGGGAGUACGGUCGCAAGAUUAAAACUCAAUGAAUUGACGGGGUCAUAGCUGUUUCCU
rnacentral:rRNA from 1 species